rnacentral:lncRNA from 1 species
CUGGGUGGGUUUGAGGGGGUUUUGGGGUGUUUCGGGCGGAUUUUGGGGUGUUUCGGGGGGGGUUUUGGUGUUUUUGGGGUGUUUCGAGUGGAUUUUGGGCUGUUUUUGGUGUUUUUGGUGUUUUUGGGGUGUCCCGGGUGAGUUUCGGGGUCCCCAAUCCCGUUUCCCCCCAGCUGAGCGAGCUUUGGGAGGAGCAGCUGCAUUUGGGGGCUCGGGGACCCCUCCCCAGCACGGGCAGUUAUUACCUCAUGGACCUCCUGGGGCCGCCGCCCACGCGGGUCCCGGCCGCUCGCGCCGCCAACGUCGCCUUCGGCUUCCUGCGCUUCCGGAGCCGCGUGCGCGCGGGGAGCCUGCCCCCGGUGAGCCCGGAUCGGGGCAAAAACGGGGAGUUUGGGGAAAAAAUGGGUUAAAAACGGGGAGUUUGGGCAAAAAGGGGUGAAAAACAGGGAGUUUGGGUUAAAAACGGGGUGAAAAAUGGGGAGUUUGGGUAAAAACGGGGAAUUUGGGUUAAAAAUGGGUUAUAAACGGGGAGUUUGGGCAAAAAGGGGUGAAAAACGGGGAGUUUGGGCAAAAAACGGGGAGUUUGGGUAAAAACGGGGGGAAAACGGGGAGUUUGGGGUUAAAAACCGGUUAAAAAUGGGGAGUUUGGGGUUAAAAACCGGUUAAAAAUGGGGAGUUUGGGUAAAAAAUGGGUGAAAAACGGGGAGUUUGGGUAAAAACGGGGGAAAAAUGGGGAGUUUGGGUAAAAAACGGGUGAAAAAUGGGGAGUUUGGGUAAAAAACGGGGAGUUUGGGUUAAAAACGGGUGAAAAACGGGGAGUUUGGGUAAAAAGAGGUGAAAAACGGGGAGUUUGGGUAAAAAGAGGUGAAAAACGGGGAGUUUGGGUAAAAAGGGGUGAAAAACGGGGAGUUUGGGUAAAAAAUGGGGAGUUUGGGCAAAAAAUGGGUUAAAAAUGGGGAGUUUGGGUAAAAAACGGGUUAAAAACGGGGAAUUGGGGGUAAAAACGGGUGAAAAACGGGGAAUUUGGGUAAAAAACGGGUGAAAAACGGGGAAUUGGGGUAAAAAACGGGGAGUUUGGGUUAAAAAUGGGUUAAAAACGGGGAAUUGGGGUAAAAAAUGGGGAAUUUGGGUUGAAAACGGGCAAUUGGGGGUAAAAAUGGGUUAAAAACGGGGAAUUUGGGUAAAAAACGGGUUAAAAACGGGGAAUUUGGGGUUAAAAAUGGGGAAUUGGGGUUAAAAACGGGGAAUUUGGGCAAAAACGGGGAAAUUUGGGGAAAAAAGGGGAAAUUUGGGGUUAAAAUGGGAAAUUUUGGGAAAAAAGAGGAAAGAUUUGGGUUAAAAAUGGGGAAUUUCGGGUUAAAAUGGGAAAAUUUGGGGUUAAAAAGGGGAAAUUUGGAUUAAAAUGGGAAAAUUCGGGGUUGAAAGGGGAAUUUUGGGGU